rnacentral:rRNA from 1 species
GGGGAAUAUUGCGCAAUGGGGGCAACCCUGACGCAGCCAUGCCGCGUGUGUGAAGAAGGCCUUCGGGUUGUAAAGCACUUUAAGUGGGGAAGAAAAGCGUAGCGUUAAUAGCGUUGCGCCGUGACAUUACCCACAGAAUAAGCACCGGCUAACUCCGUGCCAGCAGCCGCGGUAAUACGGAGGGUGCGAGCGUUAAUCGGAAUUACUGGGCGUAAAGCGCGCGUAGGCGGUUUGCUAAGUCAGCUGUGAAAGCCCCGGGCUCAACCUGGGAACUGCAGUUGAUACUGGCCGACUAGAGUACGAGAGAGGGAGGUAGAAUGCUAUGUGUAGCGGUGAAAUGCGUAGAUAUAUGGAGGAAUACCGGUGGCGAAGGCGGCCUCCUGGCUCGAUACUGACGCUGAGGUGCGAAAGCGUGGGGAUCAAAC